UUUAACACAGGGAUUUACCGUUUGUUCAAAGUAUGAAAGUUCAAUUUGUUUAUCAUCUUCAAGUUUCAAGAUUAUUUUAAAGAAUCACUGUCUAGAGCUAUAGAUCUAAUAUAAUCUAUCUAGAAUCUAGAUUUUUCAGCGGUUAUAUAUGAAGACGUCUUCUUGACUCUGCAAUCAUGUUGAAGUUCAUAAUUGCUCUCAUCCACCUCUUACCAGUGCUAGAAAGCCAACAUGUAUCAAGCUUGGUACCAAUAUCCAGGUGCAAUAAGAAUGAUUCUAUAGACAUGAAAGAAUUUUAUCUCUGCAAACUAGAUGACUGUGAAAAGUGGAUAAAAUUUAGAAAAUGUCCCGAUAAAAAUUCCUCUGAAAUAAAUUUUGCAAAGGAAAGUUUUUUCUGCAACUCAACUACAGGUCCUGAAGAUACAUUUGCUAUAGGGCUAAUGGAAAAAAACAAUUGUGAAGCUUAUAUCAGUCAGGAUGGUGGAAGAAUAUACCGUUGUGAAUAUCUGCAUUGUUGGUUUACAUUUGAAGAAUGUGGAAAUGACAUGGAAUUGCUCAACUUUAACACAUUGUUGUGUCAGUCUAUUCCAAAACUCACUGAAAGUUUACAGAGUUUAACUCUUCCAAUAGAUCCACCAUCUGUUCAUUCUUCUAUAAAUGCUGGUGAAGUCUCAGGACCUGGGAAAUACACUUUAAUUAUUGCACUUUUAAUAGGUCUCUAUAUUGUUGAUAAUUUUUAAAGGCCUAUUGGCCUUUUUGUUGUUUUUUUUUGUCAUGACAAUAGCAGCUUUAUAUUAUAUAUUAUAUUAUAUAGAUAUAUAUUUUUGUUUUGAAAAAAAAAAUAGAAUUAAUAACCAACGCAAAAAAUGCUAAUGCAUUUUAUUUUAUUGUAACUAAAUUUUUUCAAGAGAUGUUGAUAACCGACUUGCUAAGGCAAGUAGAGCUUUUGUAUGCCUCCAAGUGAGAGAGAGGCAGAAUAAAUCCUUCCAGCUGCCUACAAAAAUUAGUGUCUACCAAAAAGUGGUUCUUGCCACACUUUAUUAUGGUUCUGAGACUCUAUAAUGGGCAUUCGCUGACAGGACUACUUUACAAAUAUUCAUGUUCUGUUGGAGGCUGAUGUGGACAGUAUAGAAGCAUUACUUAUUUAACACCUGUAUUGGGUCUGACUUUUAUCCUGCAUGGGGGCUGACCACAUGCCUAAAGGGAUCCUCUUUGGUGAGCUUUAAGGAGGACAUCGUGACAGAAGUGUCACUGUAAAUGCUAUAAACACCAAUUCAUGCGCCAUUUUACACUUGCAUAGAGGCAAGUAGCAGGCAGCAGAAAGAAAAGACAGUUUGAGAGCUCUCACUAAGGUGGUAGGAUACACAUUUGAGGUCCCAGAGAAAGUCCUUGUAGAAAAUGGCACAGAGGAUGUAAAAGAAAAACAUAAAUAGACCCCAGUGAACAAUGUCUUUUCCUGCAUCAGAUGUGGAAAAAUAUCUAGGUCGCAACUGGGUUUGUGAAACCUUGGAAACACUGCAUUAUUCAUCCAUCUUUCAAAUUGAAGACAUUGCCAUUAAUUAAACUACAUUAUUAUAUAACCUUUUACUGGUUUGAAAAUAAUGGUAUCAACAUCUAUGCAACUUGCACUCAGAGUAAUAAUAUGAUAAUAAUUCAUUAUUAAUCAAUUCUUUUAAGUGGAAAAUUGUGUGAACUAAUCAAAAUUAGCAUGUUUCAUCAUCAGUUAUUUAAAGAGGUUAUUCACCUGUUGGCAUGCACUAUACCAGGAUAAUUUGUUUUUUAAAGCUGCUGAGAUUUUAUUUCCUCUUGUGGGAAAUGGCCUUAGAGAGAUUGCUAAGCCAAUAAUUGUCUCUGCUGAACAAAACUUGUGGAUGGAUCUGAGAGUGUCUCUCAAAUGUUUUGUGGAUAGACACUACUCAUUGUUAAACCACAAACACUUAGGGUUUAGAAAAUCCUUUACUUUUUGUGGAAUCUCUGAAGUUUUUCAUGUGUAAAUUAUUACGAUAUUUAUGUGUAUUUUUUUUUUUAAAUUGAAAUUAAUAUUUUUAUUUAAUAAAUUUUGUGGUAGAGUAAAAAUAAUAUUCAUAAUAGAAAUUAUUUGAAAUGUUUAACAUGAAUAUCAAAAGUUCUUCUCCCCAACCCGGAACUAAUAUGCUUUUUUAUUUGCUGUAACUUCUAAAAUUAUGGUAAAAGAUUUAGCAUUGAAGAAAAUUUUAUAGAUUUACAUUAACUAUCAUUUUGUAAAAAUGUGAUAAUAUGUUUUAUUAUUAUUUUAUUUUUAAGUUAAAAUUUCAUCCAAUUGCAAUUUAGGUAAAAGCUUUGCAAAAGUAUUUUAACCUAAUAGCACUUAUUAGGGUAGUAGAUGCCUAAUGUUGUAAGUUAUGUUAGGGCAUAAGCAACAGUUUUUAAACUUUCAUAUACAAGAAGAGCUCAUCCUGUCUUGUUAAUAAUAGGAAGUCAAUUGUAGUGACUCUUUUUAUAUAAAGAGCGAGUUCGAGAGAGAAAAAUUGUUUAUGAAUGUGCAGAUAUCACAUUGUAUAAGGCCAACAUGGGAAAAUUAGUGUUUUUUAAGCUAAAGAUAUUGUAAUAACUUAAGUGAGGCAACUCAACGAGACAUAGACGUUUAUUUACACGACAUCACAAGUAUACAAAACAACAACUAUCUUAGGCACAAUUUCUCCAUAUUGGCUCUCUACUUGGGCAGAAGUCAUUUUCCUUUCUCUUCCUAAUGUUGACAUCCUUCUCAGUCUAGUUUAUCACAGUGCGCACCUUCUAGCUUGGAUGGCGGUGCACAUGGCAGAGUUAUAACUAUUAAAAGUUUUUUUUUUUUUUAAACUAGGAAACUAGACAUAUUUUAUAUUUUUUAAAGUUUUUUUUUUUCAAUGUACAAAUCUUUUUUCAUUUACUUAUGUAAAACUCAGUGUUAUUUCUCUUUGUGUAGGAGGUAGUGUUUUUAAAACUGGAAAUAGAGGCUAAUGGGUUAAUGACUUUAUCAGUAGCUUUGUAAAUUGUUUCCUAAGUGUUCAUAAUGGAUUUAAAAAUUGUUGUCGAAAUUCUAUUACAAAAUAUCAUUCCAGUCAAAAUGUUCUUUUCCUGACGCUAAUGCUAUCAUGAAUAUUCUUUGCUCUAAACAAGUAUGGAUAUUGGUUUACCUUAGUAUAUGAGGUCUUGUCUUCUGUGCCCUAGGGUCAUGAUUUUGAAUCCCAGUGAAGACUCUAAUCGGUAAUUAGUUGAGAAAAAUAAAGGUGAUUAGUCAUGGUGCUGGUCAUGCUACAUUCUCAUUAACCAUCUAACAGAUAAAUGAGCUUUACAUAUCAUCUUGUCAUAUUGAUUGUAAGGUCUGAAGGUGAAAUAUUUUUGGUAUAUACCAGUAUUUUAAUCAUUUUCAGUUUGUAUUUUACUCAAUGCAGCUAGUUUGUCAUUUUAUUAACAAAUGAGUGGCUCUGUUGAGUUGAAGCAAUAAUUUCUUUUUAAGAUCAAAGCAAUACAAGGGGAUCUUCUCACUUUGGUCUAGGUCUGAGGUAGGAACAAUCAAGAGAAAACCUCUUGAAAUAUUAAUGAAACUCAUACUUUAAUUGUGCAACAUGUCUACAUCUGUUUCAUUAUCUCGUCAUCUGAAGUGACAUGACUAUAAUUAUUGUACUUCAAUGAUUCUUCCUUUUAUUCAGGAAAAUGUGCCACAUCAAUCCUGUUACCUAGUAAGUACAAAUAUUUUUAAUGUCAUUAUAUUGUCAUGCAGGAUGGCUGCUUUGUCACGUGAUAUUCGUUUUGGACUGUUGAUCAAUAGACUUAAUGGUCCCUGGUCUGAACCCUGCUUGACAAAUAUUUUGACAAAUACUGGUACUGCAUUUUUGCUUACAAUUUUCUUCCCAUUAUCUGAUUGCUUUAUGUCAAGAAUAGCAAAGACACUGUCCCUGGAAACCUGUUAUUGUUUUUCUACACUUUGCUUCAUUUCACCAAAUGCACUAUUCUUUGCAUCUCUUAGUCUCUUCAGUUUCUCAGUGUGAUCCUUUUCACAUUUUCUUUUUGGACUGGCCACAUCCCACAAUUACAAUAUCAUCACCUACAUUAGUACAUCCUUCUAAUCCUAACAAUGAUUCUGUUCAUUUUUUUUUGGAAUAUUUCUCCACUUACACUAAUCCCAAAGAGAAGUCUUAACCAUCUGAAACACCCAAAUGCUGUAAUGAUAGUUUUCAAAGAGAUUAGAAUUUUCAUUCAGAUGAACAAUCCAAGUUAGUUUCUUUGUUGUCUGAUUUUGAAAAUAUUUUCUUAUUUAAGAACUGUUGCAUUACAUCAUCUAAUAUUGGUAUUUUAUGAUAUCCCCUUUUCAAAACUGUGUUCAAAUGUCUCAGGUCUAUGGAAAUCCUUUAAUUGCCAUUCAUUUUUUGGACUACUGCCUGACUUACUUGUCAGUUUGCUAAUUGACUGGAAUUAAUAUUUUCUUUUUACCAGUACUGCUAUUUCUUUCACUUUCUUUUGCAAUGCAAGCGGUAUGUUAUGACAGUUAGGUAAGGCUGUUUUAUUAUCUGCCAGUGAAGCCUCACUGUAUCCAGUUGAAAUCUGUUGACCUUUAAUCUAGAAUUAUACCGUCUCGUAUAAUGUUUUGCACAUUUAUUGAAUUUGAGAGUUCUUUGUAAUAUUCUUCCUAUGCCUUUGAUUCUUCAUUUGGCUGCAAAAUGGUUCUUUUACAUUAUCUGCAAAUUUUACCCCAUGCAGGACGAUGCUGUAUGCAUCCACAAAACCAGGCAGCAGUUUAUCAGCUUUUCACUGUUGUUUUCAUCUUUCUUUGUGGCUCUGCCUUAUUUAUCUUUACUAAUGUUUCAUUGGUUCUUUUCUGCUAGACCUUAUGCUGUUUUGCCAAUAAGUGUGUCAUGCCUCAAAUUUUUAAGUAAUAUUUUCGGAUCAUUUAUAGCUUCAUUUUUCAUAAUAAUGUAGCUGCUCGGGUGGUGGCUCAGGGGGAUCUCGGGUUCAAAUCUCAGUGAAAACUGAGAGCCCCUGAGUCCACCCAACUUUCACAAGGUCUUAAAGGGGUACUUUAUUUUUAAUGGAACUGCUCAUAAAUCUUGGUCCUGCAUUUGAGCUUGGUGCAGUAAAAUGUCUUUUUGUUUUUAGGUUCUUCUUCUAUUGCAAAUGAGAGCAGCAUUACUUGUCUUCUUCAUAUAACUUGUCUUCUUCAUAUAACUUGUCUUCUUCAUAUAACUUGUCUUCUUCAUGUAACUUGUCUUCUUCAUGUAACUUGUCUUCUUCAUAUAACUUGUCUUCUUCAUAUAACUUGUCUUCUUCAUUGAGGAAAAUGUUGUAUUGGCUUCUACUAUGCUCAACUGGUUGGGUGGUUUUUGAUGAUGAUAUUAAUAGACUAAACUUUUCUACUAACUGUCCUCCAGAACAGUUACAAGGAAUGUUACUGCCAAAUACUGAGUAUAUAUAUAUAUAAUAAUAUAUAAAGUAGAAUGUAAGGAUUGUGUAUGUAUGUAUGUCCUGCAUAGAAAUAAAAACUGUUUGAGCAAUCUUGAUAAAACUUGGCUUGAAUAUUCCUCAUAUCAUAUGUAUGUUUAACUAAAGAAUGGAACUUUUUAACAAAUCUGGUAAACCUUUUUUUCGCAGUGUUUAUAUUAGAUAUCAAUACGUCUGCUAAAUGGGUAAACCCAUUUUCAUCCCCUAUUUUCAUUUUUUUGGCAAAAAAAGUGUUAAGGGAGCUUUCACACUGUUGACAUAGAUCUAAUUAUAAUCCACUAGAUCAGUAAUACUCAAAAUAACAUGUUGCCCUUGUCUAGUAUGUGUAUAUGUAUAUAUGUAGUGAAAGAGAGAGGUUUGUGAUUCUAAUCUUCAUUAUUGCCUCCCUUCUGAACUUGUUGUUCUACUCAUGCUUUCAAUUUCUUUCUAGUCUUAUUUAUCUAAUGUCUCCUUUAGUGUGUGUGCCAUGGGAAUUAAAACUGUUAGAUUUUACUAGGGUUUUUUUAAAAUUAUUAUUGACUUGUUUUGCUGUUGGUAUUUUAAGUUUUAGCUGUACACUUAUAUAUGUUAAUGAUAUUAGUAAUUGCUGGUAUAACAUUAAAUUGACUUUGGUAGCGAGGAGAGACCUGUUAGUGCUGAAAAACAUUAAGUUGUGUAUUUUCUCUCAUUAUUUUGUUUUAAAUUAGAAAAUGAAGGUUGUGAAAUAAAAUGUCUUCCAAGAAAUAGAUGUACUAUUAGAAAAAGAGUGAAAGUUGUCUUUAAAAAAAUGUUGCUAUAAAUAUUAGUUUCAAUAUAAAAUUUCAGUAAAAUACCUAAAUGUAUUAUCAAGUUGUUUUGUUUUUUUUCAAAUCCUAUUGAUUAUGUCUAACAAAUGUGUCAAAAGUCAUGGAGGGUAUUAUUCUUAUCUGUGCAAAAAAAUGUUGUUGUUUUUUUUCCUUUUUAUUCCACUUUCAUGUCCAUAUACAUUGAUAUUAGAAGUAUUUAUACUAAGUUCAAUGUUUUCAUUCUAAAAUUAUUUAUAAUUUUGUUUUCUCUUUUAUGAUGACCAUGUCAUUUCUAUUUUCAUACAAACAUACUCAUAAUGAAUAUUUGUUUCUAUGAAAUAGAGAAUAAAAGAAACUAUUUACUAUAUAUUACAUCAAUUCAAGUUGAAGUCAUUUAUUUGAUGAUCACUUUAAUACUUAUGCAUAAUGUUAUUCUUAAACGAUUAGUGAUUUCAAUUCAAUCAAAUCUCUUGUUUAUCAGCGGCCUCCAAAACGGAAAUGUCGCUAUUACUUUUGUGUUGUCUGUCUGUCGUUUGAGAUCGCAAAAGCUCUUAAGAAAUUAAGAUUGUUAACAUGAUAUUUUAGAUUGUGCUAAGCUCUGGUGCAAUUGCUAAUUUAUAUCUUCUAAAAGUGAAGUUUUUUAUUUAUUUUUUCUUUCAUAAAAAAUA